rnacentral:rRNA from 1 species
CCUAUAAAUCAGGUAGGGAUACCCGCUGAACUUCGCAUAUCAAUCGGCAGAAAUCAUUACCGAGUGCGGGUC